rnacentral:rRNA from 1 species
UACGAAGGGGGCUAGCGUUGCUCGGAAUCACUGGGCGUAAAGGGUGCGUAGGCGGGUCUUUUAAGUCAGGGGUGAAAUCCUGGAGCUCAACUCCAGAACUGCCUUUGAUACUGAAGAUCUUGAGUCCGAUAGAGGUGAGUGGAAUUCCUAGUGUAGAGGUGAAAUUCGUAGAUAUUAGGAAGAACACCAGUGGCGAAGGCGGCUCACUGGCCCGGUACUGACGCUGAGGCGCGAAAGCGUGGGGAGCAAACAGG